rnacentral:rRNA from 1 species
GACAGAGGGUGCAAACGUUGUUCGGAAUUACUGGGCGUAAAGCGCGUGUAGGCGGCCGAGUAAGUCGGGUGUGAAAGCCCAGGGCUCAACCUUGGAAGUGCACUCGAAACUGCACGGCUGGAGUCUCGGAGAGGGAAGGUGGAAUUCUGGGUGUAGAGGUGAAAUUCGUAGAUAUCCAGAGGAACACCAAGGUGGCGAAGGCGUCUUCCUGGCUCGAUACUGACGCUGAGGUGACGAAAGUGGUGGGGAGCAAACAGGAUUAGAUACCCCGGUAGUCC